GUCAAAAUCUUCACCACCUAGGUGAGUGUCACCGUUGGUAGACAGAACUUC
rnacentral:sRNA from 1 species